UACUGCCUGCCCAGUGACAGUGAUUCAACGGCCACGGUAUUUUGACCGUGCAAAGGUAGCAUAAUCAAUUGUCUUUUAAAUAAAGACUCGUAUGAAUGGCAAGACGAAAGCUUACCUGUCUCCUCCAUCAAGCCAGUGAACCUGAUCUUCCUGUACAAAAGCAGGAAUAAUUAUGUAAGACGAGAAGACCCUAUGGAACUUCAAACAAACAAUCAAUAAUUAUACUCUAUUAGUACCCCAACCAUAUUAUCUGAUUGAAUGUUUUCAGUUGGGGCGACUACGGAGAACAAAAAUCCUCCGCGAACCACUAUCGCAAUUAACAAACCACGAUACUAUUUACCUUAGAGCAAUUGACCCAAUCCAAUUGAUCAACGAACCAAGCUACCCUAGGGAUAACAGCGCAAUCUUCUUUUAGAGCCCGCAUCAGCAAGAAGGUUUACGACCUCGAUGUUGGAUCAGGAUACCCAAGCAGCGCAGCCGCUGCCAUAGGUUUGUUUGUUCAACAAUUAAUAUCCU
rnacentral:rRNA from 1 species